UAGGGCGGGACACGAGGAAUCCUGUCUGAAUCUGGGUCGACCACGAUCCAACCCUAAAUACUAAUACCAGAUCGAUAGUGCACAAGUACCGUGAGGGAAAGGUGAAAAGAACUGAGGUGAUCAGAGUGAAAUAGAACCUGAAACCAUUUGCUUACAAUCAUUCAGAGCCCUAUGUAGCAAUACAGGGUGAUGGACUGCCUUUUGCAUAAUGAGCCUGCGAGUUGUGGUGUCUGGCAAGGUUAAGCAAACGCGAAGCCGUAGCGAAAGCGAGUCUGAAUAGGGCGCUUAGUCAGAUGCUGCAGACCCGAAACGAAGUGAUCUAUCCAUGAGCAAGUUGAAGCUAGUGUAAGAACUAGUGGAGGACUGAACCCAUAGGCGUUGAAAAGCCCCGGGAUGACUUGUGGAUAGGGGUGAAAGGCCAAUCAAACUUCGUGAUAGCUGGUUCUCUCCGAAAUAUAUUUAGGUAUAGCGUUGUGUCGUAAUAUAAGGGGGUAGAGCACUGAAUGGGCUAGGGCAUACACCAAUGUACCAAACCCUAUCAAACUCCGAAUACCUUAUAUGUAAUCACAGCAGUCAGGCGGCGAGUGAUAAAAUCCGUCGUCAAGAGGGAAACAACCCAGACUACCAGCUAAGGUCCCUAAAUCUUACUUAAGUGGAAAACGAUGUGAAGUUACUUAAACAACCAGGAGGUUGGCUUAGAAGCAGCCAUCCUUUAAAGAAAGCGUAAUAGCUCACUGGUCUAGUGAUUUUGCGCGGAAAAUAUAACGGGGCUAAAGU
rnacentral:rRNA from 1 species